GGACCCCUGCCACAGAAUGAGGUAUAAAGGCAGCAGACCAGAGAGCCAGAGAAUUCAUCAGAAUCCUCACACAUUCAGGUGCUGCUGAAGCAUCAAAGUGGAACCCUUCAGAAGAUGAAGAUUCUAAUGCUGUCCGUGGGGCUGGCCCUGAUCUGUGGCCUUCAGGCUCUCAGUGACAAUAUGGAAGACCCCCAAAUGUUCACUGGAGAGUGGUUCACUGUUGCAUUGGCCUCAAAUGUGUCAUCUAAGAUUGAGGAAGGAGGUGGUUUGCAGUUGUUUGUCAAAAGUCUCGGGGAACGUGAUGGUGUUCUUAUUGGAGACUUCUUCAAAAGAUGAUGGAGAUAAUGAUUUCUCUGUUCAAAGUAUGGACUCUCAACAUGUGAUAUUUAUUACGUAUAAUACCAAAGGUGAAGAGGUGACUGUUUGGGGAGAACUCUAUGGAUCCAUCUGCAUCCAGCGGCCAGAUAUGGAUGAGAAAAACUGGAGAUGACCUUGGCUUUUGCAGACUAAGGCCGUACUCCAGAUCUUUCUGAUGAAAUAAAGAAGAAAUUUGAGGAAAUAUGUGAAAAUUUUGGAAUUAGGAAGGAUCAAAUUAGAGACUUAUCCAAUGAUGAUCCCUGUGAGAAGCUUAGGACUUCCUAGAUGAAACAUCCCUGUAUUUCUGGGAACCUGUCCUGCUUCCUCCCAGGAAUCGUUAAUAUGGAUGGUGAAAAUUUCUACUGGCUUUCUCUUCUCUCCUCCAAACUCAAGGGGGAUGCUAUUCCCCUCCCCACUCUCCCUGCUUAGAACCUUUGCCUGCA